rnacentral:SRP_RNA from 1 species
CCGUACCGAGAGUUCGAAUCUCUCACUCUCCGCCAUUUUUAUUGAUUUUUCUCAGGGCGGGCUGCAGUGCCUUGGUCUCGCGCAAUGGAGCCCUGUGAACCCCGUCAGGUCCGGAAGGAAGCAGCGGUAAGCGGAUCGUUUCAUGUGCCGCGAGGGUGCCUGGGAACUGCGGUCUGCCGUGGGAGAAAUCGGAACAG